rnacentral:rRNA from 1 species
UACGAAGGGGGCUAGCGUUAAUCGGAAUUACUGGGCGUAAAGCGUGCGCAGGCGGUGAUGUAAGACAGGUGUGAAAUCCCAGGGCUUAACCUUGGAACUGCAUUUGUGACUGCAUCGCUGGAGUGCGGCAGAGGGGGAUGGAAUUCCGCGUGUAGCAGUGAAAUGCGUAGAUAUGCGGAGGAACACCGAUGGCGAAGGCAAUCCCCUGGGCCUGCACUGACGCUCAUGCACGAAAGCGUGGGGAGCAAACGGG